UCCGGUUGAUCCUGCCGGACCUGACUGCUAUCGGAUUGAUACUAAGCCAUGCGAGUCAUUGUAGCAAUACAAGGCAGACGGCUCAGUAACGCGUAGUCAACCUAACCUAUGGACGGGAAUAACCUCGGGAAACUGAGAAUAAUGCCCGAUAGAACAUUAUGCCUGGAAUGGUUUAUGUUCCAAAUGAUUUAUCGCCGUAGGAUGGGACUGCGGCCUAUCAGUUUGUUGGUGAGGUAAUGGCCCACCAAGACUAUUACAGGUACGGGCUCUGAGAGGAGUAGCCCGGAGAUGGGUACUGAGACACGGACCCAGGCCCUAUGGGGCGCAGCAGGCGAGAAAACUUUGCAAUGUGCGAAAGCACGACAAGGUUAAUCCGAGUGGUUUCUGCUAAAGGAACCUUUUGUCGGUCCUAGAAACACCGAUGAAUAAGGGGUGGGCAAGUUCUGGUGUCAGCCGCCGCGGUAAAACCAGCACCUCAAGUGGUCAGGAUGAUUAUUGGGCCUAAAGCAUCCGUAGCCUGCUUUGUUAGUUUUCGGUUAAAUCUGUACGCUCAACGUACAGGCUGCCGGGAAUACUGCAAAGCUAGGGAGUGGGAGAGGUAGACGGUACUCGGUAGGAAGGGGUAAAAUCCUUUGAUCUAUUGAUGACCACCUGUGGCGAAGGCGGUCUACCAGAACACGUCCGACGGUGAGGGAUGAAAGCUGGGGGAGCAAACCGGAUUAGAUACCCGGGUAGUCCCAGCCGUAAACCAUGCAAACUCAGUGAUGCAUUGGCUUGUGGCCAAUGCAGUGCUGCAGGGAAGCCGUUAAGUUUGCCGCCUGGGAAGUACGUACGCAAGUAUGAAACUUAAAGGAAUUGGCGGGGGGAGCACCCACAAGGGGUGAAGCCUGCGGUUCAAUUGGAGUCAACGCCCGG
rnacentral:rRNA from 1 species